CUGCGCCCGGCCCCCGGGCAGGCGGGGCGGGACCGAAAGAAAGAGCCGAGUCACGGGCUGGAACGCCGGGAGGGCUCGAUGGGGGUGCCGUCAGUUCCUCUCAGGGAUGGUGUGUGCUUCCCGCUGCCCUCCCCGCCUUUUGGAUUCCUCUUCUAAAUGUUAUGCUAUAAACGUGAACCUUACUGAAGUUAUUAGUAUCCUGUUUGGAUGCAGAAGCCAGCACUAGGAACUAAAAUGGCUGCUAGGAGUGCAAAAAAAUCUAUAUGAAGAUACCCUGUGGCUUCAGCUGCUGUGAAAAAGGAGGAAAUGAUAAGGAAGCAGGUGAAGGAGGUGGCAUUUACAUAAGAAGAAAAAGGAAAUUCACUAAAGGGAAUCACUUCUGUAAGAUCUGGACCUGCUGGGGAGGACUUGAAGGAAGGCUGGCUUCCUGAAUCACGACUGGCACUUCAGGAGGAGAUUUUGACUUCCUACUUUCCUUCUGCAUGAUCUUCAGUUUCUUUUCCAGCUGUCUGCUGGCCACUUCCUCCCAGCUCUAGGCAACUUCAUCCAAAAGAGUGUGCCAUGACUUGGCUGAAGGAGAUUUCUCCCCCCAUUGCAGGAGGGAGUCAGCCCUUUGGCAGGCAUGAGGGUCACACAGAACUCAAGCACUGCCUUCCUGGCAGCCACAGCCCCAGGGGAGGCAGGAGGUAACAGUGGGCCUGGGGCGGUAAUUGUGACCCUGGGGGGGACAAAACCCCGGUUUGGGGCAGACACCCCUCCAGGGCUGCGGGCAUUGGGCAUCUGUGCCGGGUCUUUGCCCCUCUCCUGGCUAUGGGGGUGUCCCUCUAGGUCCUUGCCCACGGUGCCUAGGCUAGGGCAAGUGAGGCUGGGGGCAGAUGGGGGCCAUAGGGCAGAUCAGGGGCUCUGGGGGGAAAACGUGUGGGCAGGAAGUAGGGUCAAUGGCCCUCACCCAGUGGCAAGUAACCCCCCCAAUGGUAAAUCACACCCCCAGGGGUAGAUACACCCUGAAAGGGCAAAUCUUCCCCCCAGGGAAAAUGCCCUGCCAAGGGGAAGGUAUCCCCCCAGGGGCAGAUACCUCCUCCCCUUGUGUAAUCCCCCACCCAGGGGCACAUACUCCCCGCAGGUGCAGAUGCCUGUAGCAAGUGAUGCCUGAGCUCUGUGUGGGGCAGCUGAGAGGGGUAAAUGCCCCCUCUCUGGCCUGGAGGAUGGGCAGAUCCUGCCUCUGGGGCAGGAGCCAGGGCAGAGCCGGGGGCCAUGAGCUGAAUUGUCACUGCAGGGCUCAGGACCAAACUGUAGAGAAGUUUAGAAUAAACAGCAACUAUCAAUAAAUUCAUUUGUAAUAAAUAACAACCACAUUAUAAAAUAGAUUAUCUGUAUUCUGUUCUUGAUUAUGUGGACAAGUGUGUUUAUUUGGGGCUGUGUCACUGUUUAAUUAGAAUAUUUGAAAUGUGCUGAACGUCUUUAAUGCAUCAAACUUAACUUCUCCACAGUUUGUAUCUAGAAAGUCUCAAUAAUUACUCAAAAAGUUAAAUGCUUCCCAUAAAGUUCAGGUAUUCGUUAAUUAUCUUGAAGGGAAUUUGACUCCAUUUUACCUUUGGCAUAUGAUGUUUGGCACCAGCCCUAUGAUUUUAAGGGUAUCAAAGCUCCCUAAAGAAAAGUCAUUGCAUGAGGUAUUCCUAAGUAUUUCCUUCCAAUGCUAUUAGUUCUAAAGCUGUAAAUCACUCGCUUUUCUGGGUUUUAAACCGUACUCCAGCAGUAAGAUCAAUAUAUUAGGCUACUGUGCUCAAACAUACUGUAAAGUUGGAAGGCAAGAUCCCUGGGAUAAUGGUAGUCUGCAGGAGAAAAAGACCACAGCAGAAUCAGUUAUAAACUCUCACUAAAGUUUCAUUUUUAUUUUGGAAAUUCUGAUUUAACAAGAAUGAUACAAACAUACAAAAAGUUGCUGGGACUGGGCCAUCCAUACAAGUUGCACAGUAGUAUAUUCUAAAAUAGAUGUGUAAAUAUGUUUUCCCAGCAUUCUUACCCCCAAAUUUGAUGGUUUUAUUCUGAACUAUAUACUUUCUUCCUAUUAUUUAUGGGAGUAGGCUUAAUUACCUCCUAAAUAGGAAUUCUCCUAGCCUGUUUCCAGAGCUCCCUGACAGACCCAGUAGUUCCUGGGUUUCUGACACAGAGAGGUCUCCGGCAGUGGCAGAAGGCCUGGUUGUGGGAGGUGCCCGUUAGGAUCACAGGUUGGACGACCUUGGCUUUCCAUUAUCCUUCAGAGAAGGUUAAAUGGAAUUGCCUCUAUCGAGACGAAUAUUUAUAUGUGAGCUCUGCAGAGGUCAGGUUGUGGAAAUUAAUACAUGUGGACUUUAUAGCUCCAAUUAAGUGCGCAACUGGAUUCCUUUAUCACCAUCUGUCCAGCAAUAUUACACUUCAGCUCCCUGCAGUGGAUAAUGCAGGAGGGGCCUGGCAUUGAUUUUUUUUCUUGGUGGAUUUUAAAAUAAGUGAUUUUUUUUUACCAAUGUAUGGAUGCUCUACAUCUUCAGGAUUUUUAUAUCUCAUAGGAUAUUAAGCAUAUGAGGAUUUAAGUAUGCUAAAAAGUCUCCGUGUUUUAGCUUGAGAGUUCAUUAUGCAGCAAAAAAUUAUUUCCAUUAUAAAACAGAUGGGCUGGUGUAUUCACUUUUCUCGUAUACAUAGAGACUGGUUUCUUUACGUCAAAUUCUCACAUUUUUCUAGGCUGUACAUUCAUAAGUCUUUGACUUUUCAGAUCUUCAGCUGAACUUCUUUCAGUUGUACUUGAGUAUGACUCAAGGUCAAGUUGUCCAGACUUCUGGUAGUUUUUUCCAUUCUCCACAGAGAUGUCUGUAACUGAAAGGAGGUGCCCCAAACUGUUCUUCACCAAAAGCCUUUUUGAGCUCAUUGGAGUGGAAGAAUUAUUUUGCUCUUCUUGUGUUUGACAGUCUUUUUCUACAUUUCAGUAAAGCACUCACAUUUUUUUGUAACACCAAAUCGCUGUUGACUCAUUUUCUAUUUGUGAACUGCUAUGAACCAAGACUUCUUUCUGUAAAGUAACUGCUUAGACACUUUGACUCCAUCUUAUGUUUUUGCAGUCAAUUAUUCCCAGCUAUACAUAAUAGUUGCUCACCUUAUUGGAUUAAAUCCUAUUUACUUCAGAUCUUUGUUCCAACUUGUCAUUAUUUGUUCAAUUCUAAUUAUAUUUACUAAAAUGCUUGCAGCUCUCACCUGAACAGAAUAUCCUCCACAAACAUGAUAAAAAUAUUCUUUAUCCUAUUGCAUCCAGAAGCAGUUCAGGACUCAGGAUGUAAGUAUCUGGAGAUCUCACUUGCUACAAAGUCCUUAUUUGAUUGUGAAUCACUUGACACUACUUGUGAGUACCAUUUUCUAACCAUUUCAUCUAAGUUUCGUGUAGCUAAUGCUCCUCUGUCCUCCUUAGGAGAGUAUUAGAUGAUACCUCAUCAGAAGCCAUGCUGAAGUCAAGAUUCCAGAUUUGGUUUUGAGAUGUUAUUGUUGAUCGUUAUUAAUCUUAUCAUCCAAGGCCUUACAAAUAAUUUACUUAAUAAUUUGUUCCAGUAUUUUGCCUUCUACAAAGUAAAUCUGAUUUGCCUCUCAUUCCCAGCCUUUUCUUUCCUUUUUAAGGUAGGCACCAUGUUCUUCUUCCUGAUCUCGUGGAACCUCAGCUAUCUUUUCUGAGUUCGUGAAGGUAAUUGCGAAUAGCCUGGAGAUUGCUUAGCCAUUUCACUAAAUAUAUUGGCUGAAACUUACCUGGCACAUGACUUCUGUAAGCAUCUUACUUGAAUAGAUUCUGUUUCUUUCCUUAGUUUAGCUUUUGUUUUUAUGUUGCUAAUGUUAACUAUGUAAGCCAUCCGAUUACAGGUGACAUUUUGGAGAAGAACAAAGCCAAAAAAAAAUGAGGCUUUGGUCUUCCUCGCAUGACUCGGUAAUAGUUUCCUUGCCUACCUGAGGGCAAGUCAGUUCUUCCCUGGUAAUCUUGCACGUAAGCUUUUUGUUGUUACGCUCUAUGGCUCUUUGAUGGUUUCAGCUCUUUUGUAUGUUAACCUUUCUGGAUUUUCCCUACACCUUACAAGAAACACUUUGUUGUCAGUUUUAAUAAUUUAAACUAGAUUCUGCUUUUUUCAAAAGGUGCAAGCCAUUGUAAUGGUUUAGAUUUUGCCAGACUCUUCUCUUCCUGGCUUUUCUCAUUGCCAGGGUCUGUUUGCGGCCUUCAUGUUCAUUCUAUCGGAAAUGGCAAACGUUCCAGAGUGUACUUUUCAUUAGAUUUGGCAUUCAGGGGGAUUUGGGAUUCAAACCGUGAGUUUACUGAAACUUACUUUCUUCAAGUCUGAUGGUUUAAUUUUUCUUCCUUCCCUUUUGAAGAGUCAUUAACUUACCUAAGGGAGGUUGGACUAGAUGAUCUCCAGAGGUCCCUUCCAACCCUAUGAUUCUAAUGACCACUGUCACCCAUAUAGUCUCCUAAAUUCCUUUCUGAGUAGGUAUCUUGCUAUUUCAAGUCUCAUUAUCACCAGUUCCUAUGCUUUGGAUGAUUUUAUUCAAAUUAAAGUACCAUGCACUUAAUCUUUUUCGUUUGAGGGUUGCUAACGGGUCUUUGCUGUGACAGUGUUCUCUACCUUUCCUUUUUGCCAUUAUCCAAAUAUUUUCAGUAGCUCUGUGCCUUAUGUUCCUUUUCUCCUACCUGUGCUUCCUGAACAAACUCUACCUUUCCAUAGCAAUAACCAGUCAUGACAAUUUAUUCACGUUUUUAGUCCUGAAUAUAAUGACUUUCAGUUCCUCCUGUUUAUUACCCAUAUUCUUACAUAAGCGCGCAGCAUCUGAGUACGAUGCCACAGAAACUGUUUUCUUAUUGUUCCUCUAUUGUAAUAUUCAGUAAAAUCGUUCCUCUCCUCCCCCUUAAUUUUUCUUCUUUCCCCAUGCUUUUGUGGUUUAUCUGAACCCUGUGGUGUGAUAAAAAUAAUCUGAACGUAAUUUAAUUUACACCAGCUGCAGACAACUAGCAAAGAUACGUAACAACAACCAAGUGGGGGACUGGCAUAGCAUAGGACUGUCCAAAUAGUCCCGCUUUGCUUUUCUCUGGGAAAUGCUCUCCUUUGUCUGCUUGCCUUGCCAGCUUUGAGACCGGUGCGUUACCAAAAAGACCACAUAACAAAUAAACCAUCUCUCUGCCUGUUUGAGAAUUGAGAAUUUCUUACAGCAUACAAAUGGGCAUUAAGGAGAAUUCAACACUUGGACAUGCCAACUUUCUUUCAGUAGCUGUGCUCGUACAGCUCCAAAAUCAGACUUCGUGUUGUCGCUCUACACGUAGCUGUGCUUCAGCCCUUACCCCGCAG